GGGAGCUAAUACCGGAUAAUAUAUUGAACCGCAUGGUUCAAUAGUGAAAGACGGUUUUGCUGUCACUUAUAGAUGGAUCCGCGCCGCAUUAGCCAGUUGGUAAGGUAACGGCUUACCAAGGCGACGAUGCGUAGCCGACCUGAGAGGGUGAUCGGCCACACUGGAACUGAGACACGGUCCAG
rnacentral:rRNA from 1 species